UAUGACUGUCCUCCCGCACUGGAGUGUGAGUGCCCAUUAGCUUCUGCUCUUGGAAGCUAAUCAGGGCUGUGCCUGGUUAGUACUUGGAUGAGAGACACACUUGAAAGAUCAGGGGCUGCUAUCC
rnacentral:rRNA from 12 species